rnacentral:rRNA from 1 species
UACGUAGGGGGCAAGCGUUGUCCGGAAUCAUUGGGCGUAAAGCGCGUGUAGGCGGUUCGAUAAGUCUGCUGUGAAAGUCCAGGGCUCAACCCUGGGAUGCCGGUGGAUACUGUCGGGCUAGAGUGCGGAAGAGGCGAGUGGAAUUCCCGGUGUAGCGGUGAAAUGCGCAGAUAUCGGGAAGAACACCAAAGGCGAAAGCACUUUGCUGGGCCGAAACUGACACUGAUAGACGAAAGCUAGGGGAGCAAAUGGG